rnacentral:tRNA from 1 species
GCCUGGGUAGCUUAGUUGGUUAAGCAUUCAACUUUGACUCAGGUCAUGAUCUCUUGUUUCGUGGGUUCAAACCCUGCAUCAGGCU